rnacentral:rRNA from 1 species
UACCCGCAGCUCAAGUGGUGGUCAUUAUUAUUGGGCCUAAAGCGUCCGUAGCUGGCUUGUUAGAUGCCUGGGUAAAUCGAUGCGCUUAACGCAUCGAAUUCCGGGUAGACCGGCAAGCUCGAGACCGGGAGAGGCGUGAGCUACUCGAGGGGUAGGGGUAAAAUCCUGUAAUCCUUCGGGGAGGACCAGUGGCGAAGGCGUCACGCUAGAACGGCUCUGACAGUGAGGGACGAAGCCCUGGGGCGCAAACCGG